rnacentral:rRNA from 1 species
UACAGGGGGGGCAAGCGUUGUUCGGAAUUACUGGGCGUAAAGCGCGCGUAGGCGGCUUUGCAAGUCGGGUGUGAAAUCCCCAGGCUUAACCUGGGAACUGCAUUCGAGACUGCAUUGCUAGAGUAUGGGAGAGGGAAGUGGAAUUUCCGGUGUAGCGGUGAAAUGCGUAGAUAUCGGAAGGAACAUCAGUGGCGAAAAGCGACUUCCUGGACCAAUACUGACGCUCAUGUGCGAAAGCGUGGGGAGCAAACAGG